UACGUAGGCAGCGAGCGUUGUUCGGAGUUACUGGGCGUAAAGCGUGCGUAGGCGGUGUCUUAAGUUUGUUGUGAAAUCUCCCGGCUUAACCGGGAGGGUGCGGCGAAUACUGAGAUGCUGGAGUGCGGGAGAGGUAAGCGGAAUUCCCGGUGUAGCGGUGAAAUGCGUAGAUAUCAGGAGGAACACCAAUUGCGAAGGCAGCUCGCUGGGACGUGACUGACGCUGAGACGCGAAAGCGUGGGGAGCAAACAGG
rnacentral:rRNA from 1 species